GUGGGGAAUAUUGGACAAUGGGCGCAAGCCUGAUCCAGCCAUGCCGCGUGAGUGAUGAAGGCCCUAGGGUUGUAAAGCUCUUUCAGUGGGGACGAUAAUGACGGUACCCACAGAAGAAGCCCCGGCUAACUUCGUGCCAGCAGCCGCGGUAAUACGAAGGGGGCUAGCGUUGUUCGGAUUUACUGGGCGUAAAGCGCACGUAGGCGGAUCGUUAAGUCGAGGGUGAAAUCCUGGAGCUCACCUCCAGAACUGCCUUCGAUACUGGCGAUCUUGAGUCCGGAAGAGGUGAGUGGAACUCCGAGUGUAGAGGUGAAAUUCGUAGAUAUUCGGAAGAACACCAGUGGCGAAGGCGACUCACUGGCCCGUUACUGACGCUGAGGCGCGAAAGCGUGGGGAGCAAACAGGAUUAGAAACCCUGGUAGUCC
rnacentral:rRNA from 1 species